GUUGCUUCAUGUGGAGGAAUCAAAACUAGAGGAGGAUGAGGGAAAUACCACUCCAUCAGUGAGAUGGGUUCGAGAUGAUAAAUAUGAUUGCAUCCGAUUAAAGCAUUGCAAGGUUGUGACAAAAAUUGAUUGGCAUCGGAAAGGAGACUAUUUCACUACUGUCGUUCCUAGUGAUAUCCUAAUUAUGAAUUUUAGUUGUACUUAUUUUUAGUCAUUCCUAGUGCCUAUUUUAUAUCUCAGUUUUGUUUCUUUCUUUUUUCUAAUACACACUGACAAAUUGGAAAUAUAUAAAAAUCAUGACAUUAUACCUAGUUACCUAGCCUUUGAGGCUGGAAUCAGGAUGAAACCUAAAGUGCCCUGAAAAGUUUAGGCAUACCAAAUUCUCUCAGUUUAAUGACAGAGGUGUUUUAGAUUGUAAAUUUCAUCCGAGGCAGCCAUGGCUAUUCACAGCUGGAGCAGAUUCUGUCAUUAAACUGUAUUGCCACUAAUGAUAGAUUCUCCAGGAAACUUUGAAGAAUCUCCUCGAGUCAAGAUACGUUGUGACAAAAAUUGAUUGGCAUCGGAAAGGAGACUAUUUCACUACUGUCGUUCCUAGUGAUAUCCUAAUUAUGAAUUUUAGUUGUACUUAUUUUUAGUCAUUCCUAGUGCCUAUUUUAUUCCUAGUCACCUUAUUUCAAUGACAAGAACAAGGGUUCUCAUGGCCAAUAUGUGUCUAUUAAUGGGAUUUUCAAUGUCUUGCUUACCACGCUAAUCCUACUUCUGAUUGGAUUUGCAGCUUCAAGAUAUCAAACUCUACACCUUCUAUAUGGAGCUAGAUUUGCAAAAGCCAUAUCCAACUCGAGGAAGUGACUUAUUGACAUGGGAGAGAACUUAUUGGUAACCAAGGACUUUGUGAAGAUAGCAAAUUUUGGCCUUGCUCGUGAAGUUCAUUCGAAGCCACCAUUCACAGAAUAUGUUUCAACACG